rnacentral:rRNA from 1 species
UACGUAGGGUGCAAGCGUUAAUCGGAAUUACUGGGCGUAAAGCGUGCGCAGGCGGUUUUGUAAGUCUGUCGUGAAAUCCCCGGGCUUAACCUGGGGAAUGGCGAUGGAGACUGCAAGGCUAGAAUCUGGCAGAGGGGGGUAGAAUUCCACGUGUAGCAGUGAAAUGCGUAGAGAUGUGGAGGAACACCGAUGGCGAAGGCAGCCCCCUGGGCUAAGAUUGACGCUCAUGCACGAAAGCGUGGGGGAGCAAACAGGG